rnacentral:rRNA from 1 species
UACGAAGGGGGCUAGCGUUGUUCGGAAUUACUGGGCGUAAAGCGCGCGCACGCGGUCUUCCAAGUCAGUGGUGAAAGCCCGGAGCUCAACUCCGGAAUUGCCAUUGAAACUGUUAGACUUGAGGAUGAGAGAGGUGAGUGGAAUUCCCAGUGUAGAGGUGAAAUUCGUAGAUAUUGGGAAGAACACCGGUGGCGAAGGCGGCUCACUGGCUCAUUACUGACGCUCAGGCGCGAUAGCGUGGGGAUCAAACAGG